UGGCCGCAACAUUGUUUAUGUAUCCUGGAACGGACUUUUUAGAACAGUGUUGCCGUUAAAAAAUUUUAGGAGUGCAUAGUGGCUCGUAUGGCAGGCAUUAACAUUCCUGAU
rnacentral:sRNA from 1 species